UUGUCCGGAUUUACUGGGUGUAAAGGGUGCGUAGGCGGCUUUGCAAGUCAGAUGUGAAAUCUAUGGGCUCAACCCAUAAACUGCAUUUGAAACUGUAGAGCUUGAGUGAAGUAGAGGCAGGCGGAAUUCCCCGUGUAGCGGUGAAAUGCGUAGAGAUGGGGAGGAACACCAGUGGCGAAGGCGGCCUGCUGGGCUUUAACUGACGCUGAGGCACGAAAGCGUGGGUAUCAAACAGGAUUAGAUACCCUGGUAGUCCACGCUGUUAACGAUGAUUACUAGGUGUGGGG
rnacentral:rRNA from 1 species